UACAAUGAGCAGGAUCAGAAAACCCACACAGGCUGAAGAGUUACUCCACUGGAUUUAUAUCAGCUCUGUACUGCUCCCUGGCUCAGCCAGCAAGAGAGAAAUCCCUGAGAGAAGCAAAAAUCACUCACGGCUGCAUCCCAGAGACACCACUGAACAUCUUGCGAUUGGUUUUGUUGGGGCAAGAGUGCACUCUGUCAGCUUAACCUGGAGCUGAUCUACAAGGCAGACUUGCUGACUUCAGUGGGAACUUAGCAGUGCAAGAUCUGGAAGUAAAAAUUGAAUGAAGACAUUAACAUCUGUUCACCUGGAAAGAGUACCUGGAUUUUUUUUUGGCUUACUUUAUACCCAGUGCUGAAUAAAACAGGCAAUGGCAUGGUUAUUCACAGAAUAUUGUGAAAUGGAUCAUUUUGAACAACCCACUAGAGAGAUUAAGAAUAGAGGAGAUACCUGAUUUUCUGAACUAUACAUUGAAAUUCCAUCUUUGAAUAGUAGCAGUCAAGCAGAGCUUCAGCUGCAUAAAAGGGGACUACACAAAUGCUUCUAGCAUACUUAAAAGCCUCUUUGUUAUACUGAAGAGACAAACUUAAUAUAAACUAUAAAAUGAACCUCAUUAUACAAUGCUGAGACUCCUACCGAAGCAAUAUCAUGACAGUACCUUAUAAGCUUUGUGCUGAACGAGUGUACUGUUUUUGCCCUCAUUUCUCCUGUCUUCCUGUAAGGCUGAAAAUUACCUAUUUUGGCCUCGUCUCAUACCAUAGCUUUCACUUGGUUAUGGGUUCUCAGGAGCACACUUUGGACUAGUGUUUUACAGAGACAUAUGGUACAGAUGUUCUGUGAAUCCUUCUAGACUAAAUGUCUAUUUACAUCAGUUGCCUGUUAUGCUAACACAGUAGACUAAAUGACUUGUCCUUAAUCUGUAUUCUUAGGGAAAAACCUUUAGCUUUAAAUGCUCUGUCCUACUAUUCUCUGCUAUGGAUGCUCCAAAUUCUUUCUCCUCACUCAAAUGGGCUUUAGGAUGCAAUUCUCCAAAAAUGAUAGUAACAAAAUGUCAUGACUUUAAAUCUCCCAAGAAUCAUUUCUCAUGUAGCUUGCUCUGAAAGUAAUCCCUUCUAUUUAUUAACAUAGAAAUUGCAACAGAUACAAAGAGCACAGCAACAUCAUUUGAUAGAGCAAAUUCUCCGCUACAAAACACUAUUUUUCAGCAUCAUCACCACCACUAUGGAUUUUCACCAGCCUGCAUGCCACGCUCACAGAAAUCUGCACCAACAGAGAUAACCCACUGUUUCACAGCUGCUACUACAGCAUCACUGCUAGGAAGAUGUUGCCCACACAGUCCACACAGUUCAUUAGGCCAAACAGAUAGAAAGCAUCAAAUCCAGACGGCAUAGUGGGUGUGGUAGGACACACUGGCAAUGUGCUCCACAGUCUUUAAACUGAUAUGGGACCUGGUGUUAUGUGUUACAAGAACAAGAUUUUCUUUUUUGGCCUGACACAAGAAGUUUGAGACUUCAGUGUAGUCAGCACCACAGUGUAGCAGUCAGGGUUGAUGGCUUGUCUGGGUUCCAGGAAAUCUAGAAGAAUCUCUCUGUUAAUAUCCCAUAAGACACUGCACAAUACUUUACUCACUGAGUAAAGUAUCUUGAACAUUUUCAGUGGAGAAUUAACAUUUCAUCACUCCAUGGACUGCCAUUUUGACUCUGGCUCAUAGUGGUGACAUUACACCUUAUCUCUCAUCCAGAAAACUGUCACCUUCAGCCUCAUAUUUGUUCAGUAGGUUCUGACAUACAGUGUUGCAUACGGUGUUCUUUCUCCUCUUACGUGAGCAUUCAUGGGGCCCACUUGGUGCAAACUAAUAUUCCAAGAUGGUCACCAUCGUUUUCAAUGCACCAAAGCUGAUAUUCAGCUCUAUACACAUAUCCCUGCUUGUAAUCCAUCAAUUUGCCUGGAUGAGCUGAUUGAGACACUCUCCAUUUUGCGGCGUGACAGCUGGGCAUGGUCAUACAGAACGUGGCCAUUGCCUCAUUGUACUAACACCCACCUUUUAGUUUCUAUAAACAUUCAGUAAGAGUUAAUGCAUGUUAAUAGGUGCAGUCUUUUCUGCAUGUAGGAAUAAAGUGACACACCUAUGCUUCAUAUGCACUUCCAUGUCAGAUGCCAAUUUGUCAGACUGCCCCUCUGCUGCCACCUGUUACACAGCAGUAAAAUGGAAUGAAAUACUCGCAGGAAGGGUCAGUCUCUAGUGCCAUACCAUUAACAUCUGCUUCUGAUGUUGUGGGCCAACAUCAUAAAAUAGGAGGGCAUUUCUUCUGGAGCAGUCCUCAUAGUUUUUGUUUACUUUUCCAUGCAUUGGAGGAAGUUACAGUGACACCUGAGACCUUUAAGUAAUAAAUGCUCCUGACUAGCACAGAAACAACCAACUCCACACAUACAAGAGGAGUACACAAAGAAAGUUGAAAUAAGUUUCUUUAUCUCACUGAAGUAAUGACUAGAUUUUGAAACAAGAAUUCCAUACAAAAGAAGGAUAGUAGCUUAAGCCUUUGAAGGCAAAAAAAAAAAGUCUGAUUUCUCCAUAGGAAGAUCUGAGAUAUUUCUGCAUCUGCUUCUGUUUCUUUAUUUGAUCAGGUAUUUUCAUUAUAUUAAAGGUAUUAAGCAUUCAUAAAUACAAAUAAAAGCAUUCUUAUAAAGCAGCCAAGCAAUGGCUUCCUUUGCAACCAAGAACAACUCUGAUUCUUUUCUCCCCAAUCCCAUUUUGGUUUCUUGAACAUGAAUGUCUUCAGCCAUAAAAAAAACAACACCAAUAAUAAUAAUAAUAAAACACAUAGUAAUUGAAAACUUACUGGCUAAUUUCCAUCAGCUUUGUAAAGUAUUUGUAUUUUAUAUUAUUCUCCUUCACUUGAUUCUUUUGAGCAAGUCACAGAUGAUCAAUUACUCAUUUUCUCAACCAUUAAUAAAAAUCAGGCCUUAAAUCUGAGAAAUCGCUAAGCCCUUAAAACUUCAAAGUUUGACAGCCUGAACUUCCUAUGUCAAAUGGUUAUGAGCACACUUCCAUGUCUCCACAGAUUUUAUAGCACUACUCUUGUGCAUUCUUAAUCUGAAAUCACUUUCUGCCUGAGGCUAGAACACAAAACGUAUCUUCCCAACAGAUGCAAACCUAGUUGUCAUCUAACUUACAUUAAAUGCCAUCUAAGUUAUAGUAUGUUUGUAUGUCUCUCUAUGUCAGUUGAUAGAAAUAAAAAGAAAAGUGCUCUUGGUCUACUCCAUUUAGCCAGAAAAUCCACCAAUAAAAAGGAAUAAAAAUCAGCAGAAUAUCCAAGCUGAUAAUUACUUAGUCUGCUAACAGACUCCAUUCUCAUAUUAUAAAAAUCACCUAAUACAGUGCCGGGACUAUGAACUAUCCAAACAAAAAAGAUAAUCGGCCACGGAUCAAGGAGAAUAUUUCAUGAAAUGUAGAGCUAUAAGGAUGUAAUAAAAUUGAAGCAAUACUCUAAUGAAUAUGUACUAAAUCAAAUAGAAAGGCAUUUGUGAUUUUUUUUGAAUUUAGGAAGAGAAUUAUAGUACAGUUGAGAAAGUGAUGGCAGCACUUCCUGCAGAUAUGCCUAGCUAUCUCAUCAAGCUAUCUAACCUUUUUGUUGGUUUGUUUUUGCCAGUGUGAUCAAAUACUUUGCACAAGAGAUUACAAGAUUGAGCCAAAACACACAGCAGUAUUAGAGGACUAUUGCAUUUCCUGUAGUUGAUUUUAUUUUAUUUUUUUUUAACUGGUAGCUGGAAUUCUUAAAAGAUGCACUCUCAUUACCCACUUCAUAGACAGACUUGAGCUCUUCCUGAUCAUAUAUGGUCACUCUACACUGGUAGUCAAGUUCUGCUAUAUACAGUUAUAAGAAAAUAGGUCUUAAAGGGAAGCCAAAGACCUUAUAGUCCAUCUCCAUAUGUUUCUUAGUGGAUUAAAUGGUUCCUAGUAUAACUUGCCAUUUAUUUGUGAAACCUAUACGAAAGAAACUCAGUAAGCAGAGUGACUGGGGUUUUUCUUGUUGUUUUGUUGGUUUGGAUUUUGUAUUUUAAAGCAUCAAAUCCUUCUAGCUAAUAAAAUCCAUAACUGAUUCUCAGGGCUAUCAGAAUAUCACCAACCCAACUUUUUUUUUUUUUUUUUUUUUUUUUUUUUUUUUUUUUUUUUUUUUGUGACUUACCAAAACACAGUUGGAAUUAUCUUCCUUUUCACAGUUCAGGUGAAACUCCAUCACUUCAACACUACAGAAAGGUACUCGUGCUUCCUUGAACAUAAGAAAACAAUUCAGCCCUGCUCAGUUCAUCAUCAAAACGGACAAUGUUCUGCAACACUGAAAGGAUGCAAAGUUACUCGACAAGUGACAAUGCUAUGCUCACCAGACCAGGUGGGCUGUUUGUCUUUGCAUAGUAAAUAACAUUACAUGUUCU
rnacentral:lncRNA from 1 species